rnacentral:tRNA from 1 species
GGCUCAAUGGUCUAGUGGUAAGAUUCGCGCUUCGGGAUAUCACCUAAAUGCGCGAGACCCCGGGUUCGAAUCCCGGUUGAGCCC